GACGAACGCUGGCGGCGUGCUUAACACAUGCAAGUCGAACGGAAAGGCCCUGCUUUUGUGGGGUGCUCGAGUGGCGAACGGGUGAGUAACACGUGAGUAACCUGCCCUUGACUUUGGGAUAACUUCAGGAAACUGGGGCUAAUACCGGAUAGGAGCUCCUGCUGCAUGGUGGGGGUUGGAAAGUUUCGGCGGUUGGGGAUGGACUCGCGGCUUAUCGGCUUGUUGGUGGGGUAGUGGCUUACCAAGGCUUUGACGGGUAGCCGGCCUGAGAGGGUGAACGGCGACAUUGGGACUGAGAUACGGCCCAGACUCCUACGGGAGGCAGCAGUGGGGAAUAUUGCACAAUGGGCGGAAGCCUGAUGCAGCAACGCCGCGUGCGGGAUGACGGCCUUCGGGUUGUAAACCGCUUUCGCCUGUGACGAGGCGUGAGUGACGGUAAUGGGUAAAGAAGCACCGGCUAACUACGUG
rnacentral:rRNA from 1 species